UACGUAGGGGGCUAGCGUUGUCCGGAUUUAUUGGGCGUAAAGAGCUCGUAGGUGGUUCGGUAAGUCGGAUGUGAAAUCUCCAGGCUCAACCUGGAGGGGUCAUUCGAUACUGCCGUGACUAGAGUUCGGUAGAGGAGUGUGGAAUUCCUGGUGGAGCGGUGAAAUGCGCAGAGAUCAGGAGGAACACCGAUGGCGAAGGCAGGUCUCUGGGCCACUACUGACGCUGAGAAGCGAAAGCAUGGGGAGCGAACAGG
rnacentral:rRNA from 1 species